rnacentral:misc_RNA from 1 species
AACGCUAUUAUUGAUACAGUUUCUGUACUAUAUUGGUACGCGAAGCUUCCAAGCCGCCUCUGGCGGUUAUGUUUGGUCAAUUUCUUUUGACCGGGGU